GUGUCCGAGUCCCCUCAUCCCCGCCUCACGAGUGGAAGCGCACGCACCAUGGGCGGUUGCCGGAUUACGAGGAGCGGAAGCACGAGCGCGAGGCGUGCCAGAUGCACAAGCGCUCGCAGCAGGCCCGGGAGCUGCUCGGUGCUAAGGGCAAGAGGUUUGCCAAGAAGCGGUAUGCUGAAAAGGCGCAGAUAAAGAACAUGUAAGUGAUUCUCCUCGGUGAAGGCAUCUACGCCUAUGAGUCCUUCUCUAGGACCUGGCAGUGGUGCGUCGCCAGCGGGAUCAGCACCGUCGUACAUGUGGUGUCCUCCUCUGGGGUCGAGCAGUGUUAAAAUGUUCAAAAUAACAUGAAAUUGAUUUGUUCUUGAGUUGAUUUAUUCAUAUGGAUUAGAUAAGAAGAUUUGAGGCUGAGAUAGAGUUGAUUUGAGCCUAAGAUGUGUACUAAAAUAUUUAAAAUAAUAUGAAGUUGAUUUGUUCUUG